CAAGUCGAACGAAACUUCUUUAUCACCGAGUGCUUGCACUCACCGAUAAAGAGUUGAGUGGCGAACGGGUGAGUAACACGUGGGCAACCUGCCCAAAAGAGGGGGAUAACACUUGGAAACAGGUGCUAAUACCGCAUAACCAUAGUUACCGCAUGGUAACUAUGUAAAAGGUGGCUAUGCUACCGCUUUUGGAUGGGCCCGCGGCGCAUUAGCUAGUUGGUGGGGUAAAGGCUUACCAAGGCGAUGAUGCGUAGCCGAACUGAGAGGUUGAUCGGCCACAUUGGGACUGAGACACGGUCCAAACUUAAACGGGAGGCAGCAGUAGGGAAUCUUCCACAAUGGGCGAAAGCCUGAUGGAGCAACGCCGCGUGGGUGAAGAAGGUCUUCGGAUCGUAAAACCCUGUUGUUAGAGAAGAAAGUGCGUGAGAGUAACUGUUCACGUUUCGACGGUAUCUAACCAGAAAGCCACGGCUAACUACGUGCCAGCAGCCGCGGUAAUACGUAGGUGGCGAGCGUUAUCCGGAUUUAUUGGGCGUAAAGGGAACGCAGGCGGUCUUUUAAGUCUGAUGUGAAAGCCUUCGGCUUAACCGGAGUAGUGCAUUGGAAACUGGGAGACUUGAGUGCAUAAGAGGAGAGUGGAACUCCAUGUGUAGCGGUGAAAUGCGUAGAUAUAUGGAAGAACACCAGUGGCGAAAGCGGCUCUCUGGUCUGUAACUGA
rnacentral:rRNA from 1 species